CAGUCGCCACGGGAAUACGGAGGGUGCAAGCGUUAAUCGGAAUUACUGGGCGUAAAGCGCACGCAGGCGGUCUGUCAAGUCAGAUGUGAAAUCCCCGGGCUUAACCUGGGAACUGCAUUUGAAACUGGCAGGCUAGAGUCUUGUAGAGGGGGGUAGAAUUCCAGGUGUAGCGGUGAAAUGCGUAGAGAUCUGGAGGAAUACCGGUGGCGAAGGCGGCCCCCUGGACAAAGACUGACGCUCAGGUGCGAAAGCGUGGGGAGCAAACAGGAUUAGAUACCCCUGUAGUCCCUGUCUCUUAUAA
rnacentral:rRNA from 1 species